rnacentral:rRNA from 1 species
UACCAGCACCCCGAGUGGUCGGGACGAUUAUUGGGCCUAAAGCAUCCGUAGCCGGUUCUUUAAGUCCUCCGUUAAAUCCACCUGCUUAACAGAUGGGCUGCGGAGGAUACUAUAGAGCUAGGAGGCGGGAGAGGCAAGCGGUACUCAAUGGGUAGGGGUAAAAUGCGUAGAUAUCAUUUGGAACGCCAAUGGUGAAAACAGGUUGCUGGGAGUGUGCUGACGCUGAGACACGAAAGCCAGGGGAGCGAACGGG